rnacentral:rRNA from 1 species
UGAUUCCUACGGGGGGCAGCAGUAGGGAAUCUUCCACAAUGGACGAAAGUCUGAUGGAGCAACGCCGCGUGAGUGAAGAAGGGUUUCGGCUCGUAAAGCUCUGUUGGUAGUGAAGAAAGAUAGAGGUAGUAAAUGGCCUUUAUUUGACGGUAAUUACUUAGAAAGUCACGGCUAAAUACGUGCCAGCAGCCGCGGUAAUACGGAGGUGGCAAGCGUUGUCCGGAUUUUUUGGGGGUAAA